AUUAAUGUUGUUGCUGCAGUUUCUGCUGGUGAUGUCCCAUUGAAUGCUGUUCAGCUACUUUGGGUAAAUCUUAUUAUGGACACCUUGGGUGCGCUUACACUGGCCACAGAACCACCAACUGAUCAUCUAAUGCGCCGAGCUCCUGUUGGUCGAAGGGAACCUCUCGUCGCCAAUAUAAUGUGGAGAAACCUAUUAAUACAU